GGAGUUAGCCGGUGCUUCUUCUGCGAGUAACGUCACAGAUGUAAGGUAUUAACUUACACCCUUUCCUCCUCGCUGAAAGUGCUUUACAACCCGAAGGCCUUCUUCACACACGCGGCAUGGCUGCAUCAGGGUUUCCCCCAUUGUGCAAUAUUCCCCACUGCUGCCUCCCGUAGGAGUCUGGGCCGUGUCUCAGUCCCAGUGUGGCUGAUCAUCCUCUCAGACCAGCUAGGGAUCGUCGCCUAGGUGAGCCUUUACCUCACCUACUAGCUAAUCCCACCUGGGCUUAUCCAUCAGCGCAAGGCCCGAAGGUCCCCUGCUUUACCCCCGUAGGGCGUAUGCGGUAUUAGCAGUCGUUCCAACUGUUAUCCCCACAAAUGGGCAAAUUCCCAGGCAUUACUCACCCGUCCGCCGCUCGUCAUCUUCAAAAGCAAGCUUUUGAAAUGUUACCGCUCGACUUGCAUGUGUUAGGCCUGCCGCCAGCGUUCAAUCUGAGCCAGUANACAACACUGA
rnacentral:rRNA from 1 species